UACGAGGGGAGCUAGCGUUGUUCGGAAUUACUGGGCGUAAAGCGCACGUAGGCGGUUUUUUAAGUCAGAGGUGAAAGCCCGGGGCUCAACCCCGGAAUUGCCUUUGAAACUGGAAAACUUGAAUCAUGGAGAGGUCAGUGGAAUUCCGAGUGUAGAGGUGAAAUUCGUAGAUAUUCGGAAGAACACCAGUGGCGAAGGCGACUGGCUGGACAUGUAUUGACGCUGAGGUGCGAAAGCGUGGGGAGCAAACAGG
rnacentral:rRNA from 1 species